UACAGAGGGUGCGAGCGUUGUCCGGAAUCACUGGGCGUAAAGGGCGCGUAGGUGGCGCUGCAAGUCGGUGGUGAAAGCUCGUCGCUUAACGACGAGUCGGCCAUCGAAACUGCAGGGCUGGAGCACUGUAGGGGCAGAUGGAAUUCCGGGUGUAGCGGUGGAAUGCGUAGAGAUCCGGAAGAACACCAGUGGCGAAGGCGGUCUGCUGGGCAGUUGCUGACACUGAUGCGCGACAGCGUGGGGAGCAAACAGG
rnacentral:rRNA from 1 species